rnacentral:tRNA from 1 species
GGGGACGUAGCUCAGUUGGGAGAGCGUCGCGUUCGCAAUGCGAAGGUCGUGGGUUCAACUCCCAUCGUCUCCA